rnacentral:rRNA from 1 species
AGAGUUUGAUCCUGGCUCAGGAUGAACGCUAGCUACAGGCUUAACACAUGCAAGUCGAGGGGAGACGACAUCGAAAGCUUGCUUUUGAUGGGCGUCGACCGGCGCACGGGUGAGUAACGCGUAUCCAACCUGCCCACCACUUGGGGAUAACCUUGCGAAAGUAAGACUAAUACCCAAUGAUAUCUCUAGAAGACAUCUGAAAGAGAUUAAAGAUUUAUCGGUGAUGGAUGGGGAUGCGUCUGAUUAGCUUGUUGGCGGGGUAACGGCCACCAAGGCUACGAUCAGUAGGGGUUCUGAGAGGAACGGUCCCCCACAUUGGAACUGAGACACGGUCCAAACGUCCGUACGGGAGCA